UGACUCUGUCAACCAUGAAAGACUGAGGAAACAUAACUGAGAUAUGCAAGUGCCUUGAGAAUCUAAACAGCUUGCCUUCCAUAAGGAUGAGUGGCAAUGGAAGCUUCCUGAUUGCUUGCAACCACACAGAUUGUCUGAAUCUUUCUGUAGUAAUCAAGGCUCAAAGCUUGGAAUUAAUCUGUGUUCAAUCCCAGAUUUACCUGUACCCAGGAACAGAUGAACAAACAUUUCUGGAAGCUUUUCCCUCAUUUUGAAGAGAAGAACAGGUGUGGAGGUGUGCGCAUAAACAUUUGCCUCGGAGAAAGAAGUGUUUCCACCAGGAUGCUCUCAAGGAGGAUUAAAUAGUGGAAUGAACCCUCCAGCUUGGUGGAUGUGCUGGAGUGAAUCAGAAAGGGCAAGUUUCCUGAAGGCAUGGGUCACCAGCGUGGAAAGCUGUGCCACUGCAUGCGUGCCCCUCUCUGUCGGUCGGCACGAGGUCCCUGCAGGUGCCUGCUCUCUGUGCACCUGGGAACAGCAGCUGCAAACCCGUGCGGGUGCCUGCCAUCACACAACAUCCCUCCCAUGUGAAGUAAUGCCCUCCUCAUCCCGCAAAGGUAAGCUGCGGCAAAGAUGAACGACGGGCUUGCGUGUAUGAGAACGAUUACAGAUUUAGUUUCAUUUUUAGAUGGCAUUUUAUG